AUUGGGUUGUAUAACCAUGAAAAAAACUAUAAUCCACUGCAUAACCAAUUUACCUAACAUUUCUAUACACGGCGUUAGAUUUAUAUAAUAAUACUGUGUUACCCCUUUCUGCAACCGGUGAAACCUGAAGCAAAAGCAAAAAAAAAAAUCUUAGUUAUUAUCUGUAAAAAAUAAAUCGUGGCUUACCUUCCUUCACAUCAAUUCUUUUAACUUUCUUUGAUAACUUUUGAGAAACUGAAAUUUCUCCGUCGACGGUUUUCUUCACCUCUUCGAGCCCACCAUUUUCUCUACACCAUUGUCGCCGUCAGCCUUGUCCGACUUUAUUCACCUUCUCGAAGUGUGUUGCAAAGGGGAUGUCGUCUUCGCUUCUGAAAUCGAUUGCCAGAAGACGGCGUUAAUCGGCGAGAAGGAGCAACCCGAGCCUCGUCUCCUUCACAUCGGCGAUUCAUCAGAGAUCUGUUGUGAUACUGUUACAAAUAGAAGAUUUAGACUGGCAACUAAAUUGUUCGAAACUGGAUUUGAGUCAUCUAGUGAAUAUAUUCUCAUUUAUAUGUAAUGGUGCAAUGUGUAUAUAAAUGGAAUAAAUUAUGUGCAUGUAAAUGGAACCAUCAUACAUAUGAAAUGGAAUGUUAUAUAUUUAUUUGGAACAACAAUAAAACUUAGAUGAACUGCAAAUUAUUUCGUUAACCAACUCACACAAAUGUAGACUUCUUACAAACUUCUCUUAACCUAUAUGUAAUGACACUCCACCAGUUAUUUCAUCGUAAAUUUACUAUUUUUAUUCUAUUUGCCGAACUUAUAAUAAAAAUAUGAAUUUACAGUGAAUAAGCAUGAGGUAUGUUUCGUUGUAUUUACAGUGAAUAAGCAUUGAAUCAACAUUAAGUUUUUCCAUGCAAUUAUAGAAAUUUCAUAUUAUCACCAAUACGUAUUAUUCUAUUUAUUUUGUUCUAUUUUAUUUGGGUUUAAGGUUUAUAUUUGAAUUUAGGGUUUAUAUUUGGGUUUAGGGUUUAGUGAUUAGAGUUUGGAGUUUAGUAUUUGGAAGGUGGGGGUUGAUUUUGGGAUCAUCAUUAAUUUCUUUUAUGCAAUCAUAGUCAUUUCAUAAUUUUAUUAAUAAGUACUAUGAUAUUUAUUUUGUUCCAUUCCAUUUGAGUUUAAAGUUUACAUUUGAAUUUAUGGGUUUAUAUUUGGGUUUAGGGUUUAGUGAUUCGUGUUUAGGCUUUAUUAUUUGAAUGUGGGGGUUAAGGUUGAGGUCAACAUAUACUUCUUUCAUGCAGUCAUAGUCAUUUCAUAAUUUCACCAAUACAUACUAUGCUAUUUAUUUUGUUCCAUUCCAUUUAAGCUUAGGUUUUACAUUUGCAUUUAUGAUUUAUAUUUGGGUUUAUGGUUUUGUGAUUAGGGUUUAGAUUUACUAUUUUGGGUUGAGGGUGGAGUUGGGAUAUGGUUUAUUAUUUAGGGGUUGGGAUGAUGUUGGUGCCCUAUUGUAUUUUGAUAUUCUAUUUUGAUGAUAUGGAAUAGAAUA